UGCAGUCGAGCGGACAGAUGGGAGCUUGCUCCCUGAUGUUAGCGGCGGACGGGUGAGUAGCACGUGGGUAACCUGCCUGUAGGACUGGGAUAACUCCGGGAAACCGGGGCUAAUACCGGAUGGUUGUUUGAACCGCAUGGUUCAAACAUAAAAGGUGGCUUCGGCUACCACUUACAGAUGGACCCGCGGCGCAUUAGCUAGUUGGUGAGGUAACGGCUCACCAAGGCAACGAUGCGUAGCCGACCUGAGAGGGUGAUCGGCCACACUGGGACUGAAACCCGGCCCAAACUCCUACGGGAGGCAGCAGUAGGGAGUCUUCCGCAAUGGACGAAAGUCUGACGGAGCAACGCCGCGUGAGUGAUGAAGGUUUUCGGAUCGUAAAGCUCUGUUGUUAGGGAAGAACAAGUACCGUUCGAAUAGGGCGGUACCUUGACGGUACCUAACCAAAAAGCCACGGCUAACUACGUGCCAGCAGCCGCGGUAAUACGUAGGUGGCAAGCGUUGUCCGGAAUUAUUGGGCGUAAAGGGCUCGCAGGCGGUUUCUUAAGUCUGAUGUGAAAGCCCCCGGCUCAACCGGGGAGGGUCAUUGGAAACUGGGGAACUUGAGUGCAGAAGAGGAGAGUGGAAUUCCACGUGUAGCGGUGAAAUGCGUAGAGAUGUGUGAGGAACACCAGUGGCGAAGGCUGACUCUCUGGUCUGUAACUGACGCUGAGGAGCGAAAAGCGUGGAGGAGCGAACAGUGAUUAGAUACCCCUGG
rnacentral:rRNA from 1 species